rnacentral:rRNA from 1 species
GACGAACGCUGGCGGCGUGCUUAACACAUGCAAGUCGAACGGAGAGCCAAUGACGGAGUUUUCGGACAACGGAUUUGGUUUCUUAGUGGCGGACGGGUGAGUAACGCGUGAGCAACCUGCCUUGGAGUGGGGAAUAACAGCUGGAAACAGUUGCUAAUACCGCAUAAUGCAGCGAGGGGACAUCCUCUUGCUGCCAAAGAUUUAUCGCUCUGAGAUGGACUCGCGUCUGAUUAGCUGGUUGGUGAGGUAACGGCCCACCAAGUCGACGAUCGGUAGCCGACCUGAGAGGGUGAUCGGCCACAUUGGAACUGAGAGACGGUCCAA